GACGAACGCUGGCGGCGUGCUUAACACAUGCAAGUCGAACGGAAAGGCCCUGCUUUUGUGGGGUGCUCGAGUGGCGAACGGGUGAGUAACACGUGAGUAACCUGCCCUUGACUUUGGUAUAACUUCAGGAAACUGGGGCUAAUACCGGAUAGGAGCUCCUGCUGCAUGGUGGGGGUUGGAAAGUUUCGGCGGUUGGGGAUGGACUCGCGGCUUAUCAGCUUGUUGGUGGGGUAGUGGCUUACCAAGGCUUUGACGGGUAGCCGGCCUGAGAGGGUGACCGGCCACAUUGGGACUGGGAUACGGCCCAGACUCCUACGGGAGGCAGCAGUGGGGAAUAUUGCACAAUGGGCGGAAGCCUGAUGCAGCAACGCCGCGUGCGGGAUGACGGCCUUCGGGUUGUAAACCGCUUUCGCCUGUGACGAAGCGUGAGUGACGGUAAUGGGUAAAGAAGCACCGGCUAACUACGUG
rnacentral:rRNA from 1 species